rnacentral:rRNA from 1 species
AGCCAGACUCCUACGGGAGGCAGCAGUGGGGGAUAUUGCACAAUGGGGGGAACCCUGAUGCAGCGACGCCGCGUGGGUGAAGAAGCGCCUCGGCGCGUAAAGCCCUGUCAGCAGGGAAGAAAAUGACGGUACCUGAAGAAGAAGCCCCGGCUAACUACGUGCCAGCAGCCGCGGUAAUACGUAGGGGGCAAGCGUUAUCCGGAUUUACUGGGUGUAAAGGGGGCGCAGACGGCGAUGCAAGCCAGGAGUGAAAGCCCGGGGCCCAACCCCGGGACUGCUCUUGGAACUGCGUGGCUAGAGUGCAGGAGGGGCAGGCGGAAUUCCUAGUGUAGCGGUGAAAUGCGUAGAUAUUAGGAGGAACACCAGUGGCGAAGGCGGCUUGCUGGACAGAGACUGACGUUGAGGCUCGAAAGCGUGGGGAGCAAACAGGAUUAGAUACCCUUGUAC